CUGAAAAAAUGGUCCAAAAACACCCAAGUACAGCUUGAUUUGCAAGUAAAUGGAAUAUAAUGUUGCGGAUAAAGUAUAGAAUGACAAUUUCACGUGUACAACAUCUAAAGACAUGCACCAGUAUACUAAGAGCUUUUGCGUUUCUAAAAGGACGUAUUUGGGUGUUUUUUGCAGCAUUUGUUCCAUGUUUUUUCAGAGCCCCUGUAGUACACAAUGAGGAUGAGGAAGUAAAUCGCUGGUUGGGGUAGGUGUUUUCCCCAACUCUGUUUGAGGGCUGCAGUGUCUCCAGUCCUGGCUUUCAUCAUUGCCUGCUAAUCAGCUAAUGAAGACAUGGGUAACUGGGGAAAAUUGACUCACUGGCUAAUCACUGACAUUAUUUGAUCAGUUAAGUUCCAGGAAAAGGAGAGAAUCAGCAGACACGGAAGGCUCCAAGGACUGAAUAAGAGACUUCUGACCUAUAGAAUACAUGAACAUGUGCAUGCGAUAACAAUUUGUUUACAUUAGACAUUAAUAAACACGAGGAAAAAAUCUAAUCGA